rnacentral:rRNA from 1 species
UACGGAGGGGGCUAGCGUUGUUCGGAAUUACUGGGCGUAAAGCGCGCGUAGGCGGCUUUGUAAGUCAGAGGUGAAAGCCUGGAGCUCAACUCCAGAACUGCCUUUGAGACUGCAUCGGCUAGAAUCAUGGAGAGGUUAGUGGAAUUCCGAGUGUAGAGGUGAAAUUCGUAGAUAUUCGGAAGAACACCAGUGGCGAAGGCGACUAACUGGACUGUAUGACGCUG